rnacentral:rRNA from 1 species
GACAGAGGGUGCGAGCGUUGUCCGGAAUUAUUGGGCGUAAAGAGCUCGUAGGCGGUGUGUCACGUCGGCCGUGAAAACCUGCAGCUUAACUGUGGGCGUGCGGUCGAUACGGGCAUCACUGGAGUUCGGCAGGGGAGACUGGAAUUCCUGGUGUAGCGGUGAAAUGCGCAGAUAUCAGGAAGAACACCCGUGGCGAAGGCGGUUCUCUGGGACGGUACUGACGCUGAGACGCGAAAGCGUGGGGAGCGAACAGG